ACCUGGGUGGCUCAGUUGGUAGAGCAUGUGACUCUUGAUCUCCAGGUUGUGAGUUCAAACCCCACGUGGGUA
rnacentral:tRNA from 1 species